rnacentral:rRNA from 1 species
CCUACGGGAGGCAGCAGUGGGGAAUAUUGCACAAUGGGCGCAAGCCUGAUGCAGCCAUGCCGCGUGUGUGAAGAAGGCCUUCGGGUUGUAAAGCACUUUCAGCGGGGAGGAAGGCGGUGAGGUUAAUAACCUCAUCGAUUGACGUUACCCGCAGAAGAAGCACCGGCUAACUCCGUGCCAGCAGCCGCGGUAAUACGGAGGGUGCAAGCGUUAAUUGGAAUUACUGGGCGUAAAGCGCACGCAGGCGGUCUGUCAAGUCGGAUGUGAAAUCCCCGGGCUCGACCUGGGAACUGCAUUCGAAACUGGCAGGCUAGAGUCUUGUAGAGGGGGGUAGAAUUCCAGGUGUAGCGGUGAAAUGCGUAGAGAUCUGGAGGAAUACCGGUGGCGAAGGCGGCCCCCUGGACAAAGACUGACGCUCAGGUGCGAAAGCGUGGGGAGCAAACAGGAUUAGAUACCCGAGUAGUC